rnacentral:rRNA from 1 species
AGCCUUAAGUUGCAUCUAAGGUAAGCCCUGCCCAGUGAAAAUUAAGCUUUUUCAACGGCCGCAGUACUUUGACUGUGCUAAGGUAGCAAAAUCAGUUGGCUUUUAAAUGGAGUCUAGUAUGAACGGGUUGACUGGAAAAACGCUGUCUCCUUCUUAUUUAAUUGAACUUUCUUAGUGGGUGAAAAUUCCCCUGAAAAGAAAAAAGACGAGAAGACCCUAGGAGUUUUAAAAAUAUAAAUGUAGUUAUUUAGCUUUUUUGUUGGGGCAACAAGGAGACAUAAAACUCUUCUGACUUGUGUUUACAAGCCAAAAUUAUUGAGAACGAUUAAGCUACCCUAGGGAUAACAGCAUAAUUUUUUAAAAGUUUGUGACCUCGAUGUUGGACUAGGAACUAAAUGACUAGCCGUCAAAAUAGUUUGUUCUGUUCGAACAAUUUUUCCU